rnacentral:rRNA from 1 species
GAUGAACGCUGGCGGCGUGCCUAAUACAUGCAAGUCGAGCGAACAGACGAGGAGCUUGCUCCUCUGACGUUAGCGGCGGACGGGUGAGUAACACGUGGAUAACCUACCUAUCAGACUGGUAUAACUUCGGGAAACCGGAUCUAAUACCGGAUAAUAUAUUGAACCGCAGGGUUCAAUAGUGAAAGACGGUUUUGCUGGAUCUUAUAGAUGGAUCCGCGCCGCAUUAGCUAGUUGGGAAGGUAACGGCUUACCAAGGCAACGAUGCGUAGACGACCGGAGAGAGUGAUCGGCCACAUGAGAACUGGGACACGGUCCAGACUCCUACGGGAGGCAGCAGUAGGGUAUCGGACGCAAUGGGCGAAAGCAUGACGGAGCAACGGCGCGUGAGAGAUGAAGGCCUUCGGAUCGGAAAACUCUGUUAUUAGGGAAGAACAAAUGUGUAAGUAGACAUGCACGGCGUGACGGUACCUAAUCAGAAAGCCACGGCUAACUACGUG